AUGGCCUGGCCCUUUUUUCCUCUUCUCUGUCCCCAGGUGAGGGUGUGCCGAGAAGGGGAUGUGCUAGUGGAUCCCGAGAUGCUGUGCUGGGCACCAGAGACAUGCCACUGAUAAACACAGAGCAAACCCCCUGGCCUCAUGGAGCUCCAUUCAAGGAGUUCCUGUCUGGGGGAGGGGAACAAAAUGGAGCCUCAUUCCUGGGAAGAGUCUUAAUGAGGAGACAAGGCAGUG